GCAGGUUACAUACACUCGGUCCAAAAAAAUGGUAUAAAUAUUAAAAAGUUUUUUUAACCCUGGCGGAAAAAAUUCUAUAAAAUUCUACACAAAUUUAAGACAUGCUACAAGAAUCAAAACUGCUAAAAUUGGAAUGAAAAAAUUAUCAUUUAUUUUGUCGUGAGAGAAAUGUAUUUAAUUAUUAAAAUUAACAAAAGUGUUCCAGUUCUAGUAUUGUUUAAAUUUGUCAUAAAAUUUUAUAGAAUGUAUUCCGCCAGGGAAUUCAAUAAUUUAAAAUAAUGAACAUAAUUUAAAGAAAAUAAUAUUUCAUAUUUUUAUAAAUGCGAAGUUAAGAGCGGAAUGCAUCGCGAGCGCGGUGUCAACCUUGCUGCGUGAAGUUAACCGCACGCGGAACGUAGCCGUUUCUCGCCGUCUUGACGUCAUUAUCGUUUCAGUUGCGGAACGCGGUGGACGCACGGCGCGGCGACGCGCGUAUUGGAACCAAAACGAGCGGCAUCGUAAUUUGUUUAACAGAACGCGGCAAAUGGACCGACUGCGGAACGAGUGGCGUCAUGACUCAUCCAAUUGCGCACGAGCUUUCUCGUUCCCGUUGCACCAGCGACUUCGUCAAUCAGCAUUUCUCGAUAACAA